AGACAGGCAGUAGGCUGGACUUGGCUCCUGAGCAGUAGUUUGCCAACCCCUAGUUUAGUAGCAAGACAAAAGAAGUUAUUUGCUAUGAGAUUAAAUAGAGAGUUUAAGCCAGAGACUAAUGCAGAACACCUACUGGAAAAGGAAAGGAAAGAGAGAGGAAGAUAAGAAUUUAUGAAAGAUCCUAAAAUAUAAACAGGAGCCCCAGCAGAUAACUUAGAAGGGUGGAAGGAAAAUUAUUUUUUCCUCCCUUACAAGGUGUUGUGGGUGGCCAAGAAAUGAGGAACAGCGUAGUGUUCAUCUACAAGGAAAUGAAGUCUCUGAACCUCAUCUUUGGACACAAUGUUCCAACCAGUUGUCUUAACCAAGUGCCUUGAAAAGAGAACAAGGUACCCUACGGGUGGUGUUGAGGCUGGUCCCCAACAUUGGUGGAAGAAGCACCUUUAUGGACCAGACAGCCAUGUACUCGGUCAGCCCCACUGCAGAUACGCCGGAAGGAGGUCCAAAAGCCGUUUUCAGGGAGAGGACUCUUUGCCCCUUGUUAGUUAAACCUUGGCAGACAUGCUGGGCAGGAAUGACAUACCCUAUGUCUCCUAUUCUGAAGAAAUGAUAGUGAUUUUCACCCCAUCCCCGAUCAAACAGGACUGUGACUUACGUUUCCCAGUGUUCAUUGCUAAUUUCAUGCACCAUUAAGUUUUGUAGUCUCCCAUGUCCAUUAGACCUUGCUUCUCCCUCUGGGAUGUUGGGACAUUGUGGGGAGCAUAUUGUGAUAUGUUGGCAUGCUGGGGUGGGGGAGGCCACAGCUGACUUGGGAGAACUUGUCCCUUGGUGACACCCACCCACACUGAGCUUGAACUUCAGACAAGGGAAAUUGACUCUUACUCCACUCCCCACCCUCACCCCAUGGCAGCCUGGCUCACCAACCACAGCGAAGCCGGACUUGGCCUCUUGGUUCUUCUCAACACAGCUCCCCAGUCAGACACCACCAACUGAACUGAAUUGGCACUAUUUGGUAGUCUAGCCUGACUUAUAAUAACAAUUGAAAAAGAAAAGAUAAAUCUGUCCUCCAAACUGGAUUCAGUUAUCACACUAUUGCUCGGAUCUAUUGUAUCACUUGGAGCCCUGCGCUUACAGUGCUAUUCUGUGAAUUUCUUCUAACAACAAGAGUCUAUAAGGUGAGAGGGCCCCUUGUUCUUUCAAAGAGAAAGGAAAUGUCUCUUAAAGCAUCAUUUAAACUUAAAUUUUAAUGUUGUUUAAGCAUGGAGAAGUACAGAGAAGAAAACAUUUGAUGACCCACAUUCUUAUUGCCCAGCUCACUCCUGACUGUAUUAGAUAAUAAUUAUGACAUUAUAAUAGUUACACAUGCAUACGAGUAGAAAUUUUAAACAUGAAAGCAUAACACGACAAGUGCUAACUUCUAUUCCUUCCUUCCUAAUGAUAACAGCUAUUGAUUAUUAAUAGUUUUUCAUGGGUUCUACCAGAAAAAGUACAUGUAUGUUUAUAUUCUUUUCUAAAAGUUACCAAAAAGGGGGAAAAGGGUGAAGCGUACUCUACAAUAUGUUCUGCAGCUUGGUUUUUUUUCUUCUAACUGAAUUAUACAACUGGCAUUCUUUCCUGAUCCACCUCAUUCAUUCAUUCACAUGGUCUUCCAGCAUAUGGAUGUGCCAUAAUCCAUAAUAUGGAUGUACCAUAACUUAAUCAGUACUCUGUUAAUGGUAAAACAUCUUUUGAAGACUUCAGGGGGCUCAUUGACCCACUUGAACUGUUAUUCAUCAACAAAGGAGGAAGGACACCUAUUUCAUUCAUUCACUCAAAAUCCUGCAGCUCUAAAGAUUAUUCAACUUGGUCCACAACUUCUGGCAAAUACAACUACAAAGGAAAGCAUCAGCAGAGCUGGGGCUGGGGUGUGGUAUGAAUAAAGUCAUUUGCAAUGCACCAGAAUAAAGAUCCCUUGCAAUGAUCACGAGCUGUAAGCACUGACAGUCCUAGAAGACUUGGUCAUGUGAUAGACCAGGUAGCAUUGCCCGGAGUAACAUGAAGGCAGCAUUGCUUCACACAGAGACUUCAAACUAACAGUGUCUCCCAGAAGCCUUACAGCACUGAAAAUGCUUCACUGUAUUUUAUUCAUAAUGGAUAUAUUCACUAUAGAUGCUGAGUCUGCUAAGCCAGCUGUGUUUUCCUGUCACCAAGAUGCCUUGAUGCCAUCUUAAUAUACACAUAUUUAAAAAUUCUCCAUGGAAGAACAUCUUUACUUUGUCUAACUCUAAUUGUGCCAGGGAAUUGAAGUAGUCAGUUCAGAUAAUGCUGAAACUUAUUGACUACUUGUUAGUUCUGUGUCCUGGAGCCUGUGAUCUAACCAUUCUAAGCCUAUAAAAUGAAGGUAAUGAUGCCUACCCCAUAGGGUUGAUGGGAUGAUUAACUAGGAUAAUUUAUAUCUACAGAGAAACAUAUAUGGUGUGCCUCCACUUAUGUAGUUAAACAGCUAUCUCUGUUUAUUUACAAAGAGAGAUGUCUGGAAAGAUGUUUAUCAAAAUGUUAAGCUUGGUUUUCUCUGGGUGUGAGAUUUCUGAAGAUUUUACUUUUUUCUUAGUUCUUUUCCAUGUUGAUUGGAUUUGUUUGUUUUGUUUAUACAAUGAUUAAGAGUGAUUUUUACAUUUUUUUAAAAAGCCGUUUUCAAAAUGAGAUAAUGUUUAUAAGGAAAAUCACACAUAAGUACUCAAUCAACGUUGUUACUGUUAAAAGCUAUCAGGAAAAGACCACUCACUCUAUACCAGAAAAAUCACGAUUUAACUAUAUUUAAGACCCACCAAAGCCCAAUUCUUUGGGGUUUUUUUGUUUGUUUGUUUUUAGAGACAGGAUCUCACUCUGUCACUCAGGCCGUAGUGCAAUGGCAUGAUCAUGGCUCACUGUAACCUCAAACUCCUGGGCUCCACAAUCCUCCCACAUCAGCCUCUCAAGUAGUUAGGACUAUAGGUGCAUACCACCAUUCACCACACCCUGCUAAUUAAAAAAAUUUUUUUUUUCCUAGAGACAACGUCUUGGUAUAUUACCCAAGCUGCUCUUGAACUCCUGGCCUCAAGUGAUCCUCCUACCUCGGCUUCCCAAAGUGCUGGUAUUACAGCUGUAAGCCAGCAUGCCUGGCCCCAAUUCUUAAGAAUAUGGGCUUUGGAAUCAGGUAGUCCUGGCUUUGAAUUACAGUUCUUAAUCUUUGUUUUUCCUCCCUACAUCUUUUUUUUUUUUUCUCUCAAGACGGAGUCUCGCUCUGUCACCCAGGCUGGAGGGCAGUGGCGCAAGCUCCGCUCACUGCAACCUCCGCCUCGCAGGUUCAAACGAUUCUCCUGCUUCACCCUCCUGAGUACCUGGGAUUAUAGGCACACAACACCACGCCCAGCUAACUUUUGUAUUUUUAGUGGAGAUGGGGUUUCAAAUGUUGGCCAGGCUGGUCUUGAACUCCUGAUCUUGUGAUCUGCCCUCCUUGGCCUCCCAAAGUGCUGAGAUUACAGGCACGAGCCACCGCGCCCGGUGCUUUUUUUGUUUGUUUGUUUUGUUUUUGAGACAGGGUCUCACUUCGUUACCCAGGCUGGAGUACAGUGGUGUCAUCUCGGCUCACUGCAACCUCUGUCCUCUGGGCUCAAGCAAUCCUUGAACCUCAGCUUUCCGAGUAGCUGGGACUACAGGUGUGCCUCCACACCUGACAAUUUUUUUUGUAUUUUUGGUAGAGAUGGGGCCUCACCAUGUUGCCCAGGUUGGGUCUGAAACUCCUGAGCUCAAGCGAUCUGUGCACCUCAGCCUCCCAAAGUACUGGGAUUACAGGCAGGAGCCACCAUGCCCAGCCACGCUACGUCUUUUUAGAUGCUACACUUUGAGGAAAACACUUCACCAUUUGUAGCCUUGGUUCUUCCUCUGUAAAAUAAAAUGCUUUUCUCCUCUAUCCAAUAACCCAAAUCCUACACAGCCUUCAGAACUUUCAGUGUUUCCAGCUGUCCCAAACACUUGGAAUUCCUAGAGUACUUGCAAGCCUGGUUACUCUUCAGGGCCCUGGAUAUAAUAACAAAACGUAGUCAUGGCCAACACAGCUAAUUCUCUAUGUAAUAUCUACUCUUCUCUUUCUCUUUACCAACAGAACUUGAAUUUUAUGCAGGGCAGCAAUGUGCCCAGUUAAAAAUACUCAGCCAUGUGUGGUGGCUGCUGCCUGCAAUCCCAGCUACUAGGGGGUAUAAGGCAGGAGGAUUGCUUAAGGCCAGGAGUUUAAGACCAGCCCAGCCGACCCCAUACCUGAAGUAAAUAAAAGUUAAGAUACUCACCUUCCAGACUUACUUGCCACUCAGAGUGGCUCAGUUUGACCACUGGGAGGUAUAUAAGCAGUAUGAGGUAUGUAUUAGUCUGUUUUCACAUUGCUGUAAACAACUGCCCAAGCCUGGGUAAUUUAUAAAGGAAAGAGGCUUAAUUGACUCACAGUUCAGCAUGGCUGAGGAGGCCUCAGGAAACUUACAAUCAUGGCAGAAGAUGAAGGGGAAGCAAGGCACCUUCACACGGCAGCAGGAAGGAAAGGUGCUGAGUGAAGGGGAAAGAGCCCCUUAUAAAACCAUCAGAUCUUGUGAGGACUUACUGUCGGGAGAACAGCAUGGAGAAAACUGAUUUUCCCCAUGAUUCAGUUACCUACACCUGGUCUUUCCCUUGACACCUGGGGAUUAUGGGGAUUACAAUUCACAAUAAGAUUUGGGUGGGGACACAAAGCCUAACUGUAUCAAGGUAUAAACAGUAUUAUCAUAUAAGGAGCUUCCAAGACAAUUGUAUCCCUCAUCAGAAGGGAGAGAUUCAGCUGAUACAUACUCUUUGAACUUUAUUCUUCCCCUGUUCCUGCCUGAAGAAAGAAAAUGACACCUAGAAUGGUUGCAAUCGUCUCAUAAGAGCCACAUUCUAGGAACGAGACAGCAGGAAAACAGGAAACCCAGGCCUUGGUGGGUUCGUGAUAAAUCCUGGACCACAUGCCCCAGACUUCUUGUUACAUGAUGAAAUUAACUCUUAGUGGGUUAAGCCACUGUUGUCAGGAUUUGGUUACACGCAGCCAAAUGCAGUCUUGAGUGAAUAGCCUACCUUAAAAGGUUGCUGUGAGGAUUCGUUUGAGAUAAUGUUUGUGAAACACUUAGCCCAGUACCUGGAACACAGGCAUAGCCUAAUAAAUAUUUGCUGAUGAGUUGCAGUUUUCUUCCUUAUAAAAAAGAAUUAAGUGCUGGACAUGGCGGCUCACGCCUAUAAUCCCAGCACUUUGC
rnacentral:lncRNA from 10 species